UAACUGGGCGCCUCGGCCUGAAGCCUUGCGGUGUGUCGGGUAACACCGGCAUACUGCUUAGCGGUCGGACAUAACCGCCGGAGUGUACGGCCCGUCGUGCCGGCUUUAACCGGUCGGUACGGCGGACGGACACAAUCAAAUCGGCCGGGGUGCUCUUAACCGAGUGUCUCGGUCGGCCGGCAAACGUUUACUUUGAACAAAUUAGAGUGCUCAAAGCAGGCUGAUCUUAGCCCUGAAUAUCGCAGCAUGGAAUGAUGGAAUAGGACCUCGGUCUUAUUUUGCUGGUCUUUUUCUCAUAGACCCGAGGUAAUGGUCAAUAGAGACGGACGGGGGCAUCCGUACUGCGGCGACAGAGGUGAAAUUCUUGGACCGCCGCAAGACGAACGACAGCGAAGGCAUUUGCCAAGAAUGUUUUCCUUGAUCAAGAACGAAAGUUAGAGGUUCGAAGGCGAUCAGAUACCGCCCUAGUUCUAACCAUAAACGAUGCCGACCAGCGAUCCGCCGGUGUUACUCCCAUGACUCGGCGGGCGGCUUCCGGGAAACCAAAGUCUUUGGGUUCCGGGGGAAGUAUGGUUGCAAAGCUGAAACUUAAAGGAAUUGACGGAAGGGCACCACCAGGAGUGGAGCCUGCGGCUUAAUUUGACCCAACACGGGAAACCUCACCAGGCCCGGACACUGGAAUGAUUGACAGAUUGAGAGCUCUUUCUCGAUUCGGUGGGUGGUGGUGCAUGGCCGUUCUUAGUUGGUGGAGCGAUUUGUCUGGUUAAUUCCGAUAACGAACGAGACUCUAUCCUGCUAAAUAGGUGGCGGGUUUCUAUGCCUCGAGACUGCGGCGGGCGCAAGCCCGUCGCAGUCGGAAGGAAACUUGGGUGCGGUGGCCGACGGGACCAGGGCCGUGUGUUUGUCGGUCUCGAGUGCGUGGGUCAAACUGCGUACUUGGGCUCGGUGAGCGUACGGCUCCCCCGGCGAUACCACCGUACUCGCGCCCGUCACGUCUCUUCUUAGAGGGACAAGCGGCGUCCAGCCGCGUGACAGUGAGCAAUAACAGGUCUGUGAUGCCCUUAGAUGUCCUGGGCCGCACGCGCGCUACACUGAGGGAAUCAGCGUGUUUCAAUCUCCCUGUCCGAAAGGACCGGGUAACCGCUGAACCUCCUUCGUGGUUGGGAUUGGGGACUGCAAAGAUCCCCAUGAACCAGGAAUCCCUAGUAGGCGCGGGUCACUAGCCCGCGUCGAUUACGUCCCUGCCCUUUGUACACACCGCCCGUCGCUACUACCGAUUGAAUGAUUUAGUGAGGCCUUCGGACGGGCCCGUCGGGGGAGUGUUCCCGUCGUCUUCGCGGAUGGCGGGCGCGCGCCCUACCAACGGCGG
rnacentral:rRNA from 1 species